CCUACGGGCGGCUGCAGUGGGGAAUCUUGCACAAUGGAGGAAACUCUGAUGCAGCGACGCCGCGUGAGCGAUGAAGCCCCUCGGGGUGUAAAGCUCUUUCGACGGGAACGAUAAUGACGGUACCCGGAGAAGAAGCUGCGGCUAACUACGUGCCAGCAGCCGCGGUAAUACGUAGGCAGCAAACGUUGUUCGGAAUUACUGGGCGUAAAGAGUGUGUAGGCGGUUCUGCAAGUUUGGUGUGAAAUCUCCCGGCGUAACUGGGAGGGUGCGCCGAAAACUGCAAGGCUAGAGUACUGGAGAGGAAAGCGGAAUUCCUGGUGUAGCGGUGAAAUGCGUAGAUAUCAGGAGGAACACCGGUGGUGUAGACGGCUUUCCGGACUAGUACUGACGCUGAGGCGCGAAAGCUAGGGGAGCGAACGGGAUUAGAUACCCUUGUAGUC
rnacentral:rRNA from 1 species